rnacentral:rRNA from 1 species
GCGGGGUANCGGCCNACCAACCCGACGAUGGAUAGGGGUUCUGAGAGGAAGGUCCCCCACAUUGGUACUGANACGCGGACCAAAUUCCUACGGGAGGCAGCAGUGAGGAAUAUUGGUCAAUGGGCGUAAGCCUGAACCAGCCAAGUCGCGUGAGGGAUGAAGGUUCUAUGGAUCGUAAACCUCUUUUAUAAGGGAAUAAAGUGCGGGACGUGUCCCGUUUUGUAUGUACCUUAUGAAUAAGGAUCGGCUAACUCCGUGCCAGCAGCCGCGGUAAUACGGAGGAUCCGAGCGUUAUCCGGAUUUAUUGGGUUUAAAGGGUGCGUAGGCGGCCUUUUAAGUCAGCGGUGAAAGUCUGUGGCUCAACCAUAGAAUUGCCGUUGAAACUGGGAGGCUUGAGUAUGUUUGAGGCAGGCGGAAUGCGUGGUGUAGCGGUGAAAUGCUUAGAUAUCACGCAGAACCCCGAUUGCGAAGGCAGCCUGCCAAGCCAUGACUGACGCUGAUGCACGAAAGCGUGGGGAUCAAACAGGAUUAGAUACCCUGGUAGUCCACGCAGUAAACGAUGAUCACUAGCUGUUUGCGAUACACUGUAAGCGGCACAGCGAAAGCGUUAAGUGAUCCACCUGGGGAGUACGCCGGCAUCAGGAAUUCCAAAGGAAAUUUGCCGGGGGGCCAGAACAAGAGGGAGGAACAUGUGGUUUUAAUUCGGAUAAUCCGCCAGGACCUUUACCCGGGUUUGAACGCAUUCGGACCGAGGUUGGAACCACCUUUUCUAGCAAUAGCUGUUUGCGAGGUGCUGCAUGGUUGUCGUCAGCUCGUGCCGUGAGGUGUCGGCUUAAGUGCCAUAACGAGCGCAACCCUUGCCACUAGUUACUAACAGGUGAUGCUGAGGACUCUGGUGGGACUGCCAGCGUAAGCUGCGAGGAAGGCGGGGAUGACGUCAAAUCAGCACGGCCCUUACAUCCGGGGCGACACACGUGUUACAAUGGCGUGGACAAAGGGAUGCCACCCGGCGACAGGGAGCGAAUCCCCAAACCACGUCUCAGUUCGGAUCGGAGUCUGCAACCCGACUCCGUGAAGCUGGAUUCGCUAGUAAUCGCGCAUCAGCCAUGGCGCGGUGAAUACGUUCCCGGGCCUUGUACACACCGCCCGUCAAGCCAUGGGAGCCGGGGGUACCUGAAGUCCGUAACCGCGAGGAUCGGUCUAGGGUAAAACUGGUGACUGGGGCUAAGUCGUAACAAGGUAGCCGUA